CCCAGACUCCUACGGGAGGCAGCAGUAGGGAAUCUUCGGCAAUGGACGAAAGUCUGACCGAGCAACGCCGCGUGAGUGAAGAAGGUUUUCGGAUCGUAAAACUCUGUUGUUAGAGAAGAACAAGGACGUUAGUAACUGAACGUCCCCUGACGGUAUCUAACCAGAAAGCCACGGCUAACUACGUGCCAGCAGCCGCGGUAAUACGUAGGUGGCAAGCGUUGUCCGGAUUUAUUGGGCGUAAAGCGAGCGCAGGCGGUUUCUUAAGUCUGAUGUGAAAGCCCCCGGCUCAACCGGGGAGGGUCAUUGGAAACUGGGAGACUUGAGUGCAGAAGAGGAGAGUGGAAUUCCAUGUGUAGCGGUGAAAUGCGUAGAUAUAUGGAGGAACACCAGUGGCGAAGGCGGCUCUCUGGUCUGUAACUGACGCUGAGGCUCGAAAGCGUGGGGAGCAAACAGGAUUAGAUACCCUGGUAGUCCACGCCGUAAACGAUGAGUGCUAAGUGUUGGAGGGUUUCCGCCCUUCAGUGCUGCAGCAAACGCAUUAAGCACUCCGCCUGGGGAGUACACCCGCAAGGUUGAAAAUCAAAGGAAUUGACGGGGGCCCGCACAAACGGUGG
rnacentral:rRNA from 1 species